UGAUUGAGUAUAAGCGGUCAGUAUGGCAAACAUACGGGACAUUGCUCUACAG
rnacentral:ncRNA from 2 species